GUAAGGACUGAGCACAUACACUAAAAUUAAAGCAACAUGGAGAAGAUUAUCACAGCCCCUGCAUGUAGAUGGCACACAAACUUCUGAAGCAUUCCAUAUUUUU